GAGUCUUCGGACCUCGUGCUAUUAGAUGAGUCUGCGUCGGAUUAGCUUGUUGGUGAGGUAAUGGCUCACCAAGGCGACGAUCCGUAGCUGGUCUGAGAGGAUGACCAGCCACACUGGAACUGAGACACGGUCCAGACUCCUACGGGAGGCAGCAGUGGGGAAUAUUGCACAAUGGGCGCAAGCCUGAUGCAGCCAUGCCGCGUGUGUGAAGAAGGCCUUAGGGUUGUAAAGCACUUUCAGCAGUGAGGAAAGGGGUGUCGUUAAUAGCGCCAUCCUGUGACGUUAACUGCAGAAGAAGGACCGGCUAACUCCGUG
rnacentral:rRNA from 1 species